rnacentral:tRNA from 1 species
ACCUGACUGGCUCAGUUGGUGGAGCAUACGACUUUUGAUCUUGGGGUGGUGAGUUUGAGACCCAUGUUGGGUG